CCAGAGUCUACAGUAGUGUACCGUCCCAGGCCUCCACAUUCACUCAGCACUCACUCACUGGCUCACCCAGAGCACCCUCCAGUCCUGCCAGCUCCAUUCAUGGUAAGUGCCCUGUGCAGGUGUGCCAGUUUUCCUCUUAUACCAUAUUUUUACUGUCCCUUUUCUAUGUUUAGAUACACAAAUACCACUGUAUUACAGCUGCCUACGGGAUCCAGUGCAGUCACAGGCUGUGCAGGUUUGUGGCCUAGGAGCCGCAGGACACACCAUCUAGGUCUGUGUGACACACUGUGGUGCUGGCAUGACAACCACAUCCCCAAACGAUGCAUUUCUCAGAAGGCAUCCCUGUUGUGGACGGACGGAUGUCUGUAUGUGCUUCUUCACAGGACUGAGAGCCCUGGCCUAGACCCUCAGCACACCCUCACAUCAUCAUUUCUCAUGAGAAAGAUGAAAUGAGAUGGCACUUGAAGGCGUGCCAGUAACACCGCUAACCAGAGAGAGGUGGCCACGCAGGAGGAGAAAUAGCAUGGAUGUUCUGGGAUCACUGAGGACCUAUUAACUGACCAGUUUUGGACAGAAGCUGAAGCAUUAACAGGACUAGCCCUGUUGACACUGGAAUUCCCGUUAGGACUCGACAUGGAACUGCUUGGCGUGUCUUUCAAUGGUCCAGUCCCAUUUAAGUGAGGUGGAUUCUGGAAGACUAACAAGUUUCAUACACCUGGAAAUGUUCUCUGUUUUUCUCAAUCCCUCCUACCCGCGCAUACUUUCCACAGGCCCUAGUUUUCUGGCAAUAAAUCAACAAACAGGACAUACAUGUUUCACAGAAAACAAUCCUCCGACCAAACUCGUUCUGUCCCAGAUCUGAUCGAAAUCAGCAGGACCUGUGGCAUGGAGUCACACACUUGCU
rnacentral:lncRNA from 1 species